rnacentral:rRNA from 1 species
UACGGAGGGUGCGAGCGUUGUCCGGAAUCAUUGGGCGUAAAGGGUGCGUAGGCGGCGCGGUAAGUCGGGUGUGAAAUCUCGGAGCUUAACUCCGAAACUGCAUUCGAUACUGCCGUGCUUGAGGACUGGAGAGGAGACUGGAAUUUACGGUGUAGCAGUGAAAUGCGUAGAGAUCGUAAGGAAGACCAGUGGCGAAGGCGGGUCUCUGGACAGUUCCUGACACUGAGGCACGAAGGCCAGGGGGAGCAAACGGG